AUCUGGGCGGCGGAAUUCAGGAUGGCCGGCGUGCUCUCGCGGCGCGUCGGUCGUUUGAUAUUUCCGUCGCCAAUCACACUCGCAGACGUCGCGACCUGUUCGCGGUCGGUCCCUGCUCGGAGGAGCCGCGUUCGAGUUCGUUGCGUGGCGCGUUUCGGCGUGUCACGCGGCGAAGGCGCGGAUCUCUGGCUGGCCGUCGGACAGUAUGCUCAACGGUGUCCGGUGUCGUCGUCUCGUACGCGCGCGCACCGGUGCCGGUCAGCGACGAAUUCUUCGGGCCUCUUUCCGACCCGUCUUGAAACACGGACCAAGGAGUCUAACAUGCGCGCGAGUCGCGGGGUGUCGAGCGUACCUCGGUACGUUCGUUACGUUGCGAAACCCGUACAUGUCGAAGGCGUAAUGAAAGUGAAUGGGGAAGAUGGUGUUCCGAGUACACGUUCCGCGGUCGCUGGUACCGUGGCCGGACACCCGCAUUCCCGGGGCGUCUCAACGGCCCGUCGCUGAUGCGGACAGUCCGUCUGUCGGUCGGCGACGAACCGA
rnacentral:rRNA from 1 species